GUGAAUUUGAUUCUUCAAAUCAACACCAUUAAGGUCCACAAUUUUCACUGAUCAGUUUCAACAGUACAAUGUAUCAAGAUAUUUUGUUUGGUAACCAAAGCUGGUGAAAAAGCCAUGUAUCGUCAAUGGUUAACCAAUCUUCAUCUUCAAUCAUCAUCCUCUCUGUUAUAUUACCUCUAUCUUUACAUUUCAUCCAUUUCCCGUUGAAGAAAUAUUUCCUUUUUACCAGUUUUCCUCAGGAUACACAUUUUUUCUAAAUUUUUAGUGACUUGAUGUGACAAAUUGUGAUCAAAUUGACGUUUGAUCUAAUUUUAUUUAACCUAAAAUAGCCCUAAAUUCAAGUCAACCAUUGAUGUUGAAAAUUUCCACCAAUAAUAGUGUUUCUCAUCCAAGAUUAUGAUGCUGUUGCAGUGUUGAUGGUGAUGUUUAAUAUUUAACUGAUUGGCCAAAUUACCAUUAUUUAUUCAAGUCAGCGUUAAAAACACUAGUAAAAUCAGUUAUCAUUAUACAUCAAUGGAAGAUGAAAAUUGUUUAUAAAAUGGACCAAACAUUAAGGUUAAACUCUAUCUUCUUUUUUCUCCCUCAUCUCAUCUUUUCUUUGCAUCUUAUAGGUAGUUUCUCUUACAUUUCGUCUUCGUCUUCGCCAUAAAUUACCUGCAGCUUUUACUUUUCAUGGUAAAUAGACUAUUUAAUAACCAGGUUAACACACAAAAGCAAAGAAAACAUAAAAAAUUACCAACAUAUCAUAAUUUAUUGGCAGGAUUAUCUGAUUAAAUGCGAGACAAACGGAAAUUCAAUUUGGAUUCCGGAAACAUUGGAACUCAAUUUAGCAAGUAGACUAAGCCCGAGGCCACUCAAUUAACAUAAGAUUGACCUUAACAGUUAAGUAAUUGAAGGAGAAGGAGCCAAAAAAAGAGAAAGCCCAAAAAAUGGACGGAGAAAUAUGAUGAUGGUAAAAAACGAUGAUGAUGAUAAUGAUGAUCAAAAUGAACCAAGCCAAGCCCAUGGAUAGAGUAACUUAAAUCUCCUUUGGAAAACGUUCACAGCAUGAGAUAAAGAGAUGAAGAAAAGGACAAGAAAAACAAAAAUGGUAGAAAACGAAAUGUGAGAAGAAAGUAAAAAUUGUUUAACAUAAUUUGGUUACCUUGUUGUAGCUUUCUUCAUUCUUAUGGUCUACCUUUUUGGUGCUAAUUUAAUGCCUUAGGAUUCAGAAAUGACUAAGGUAAAAGGUUAACGGGCCUUUAAAUUGUACCAAAAUGUAGACAAAGUCAACCCCAGUGAGCAAAGAUGUUAAUCACCUAAAGUUUGAGGUAGGCAAAAAUGAAAUACAGUCAAUUGUUGCUGCUAUUAACGAUACCAAUUUGGGUUUGAAUUGAUGGCAGUUUAACGCGCUUACUGGAAAUGAGCGAUUGCUGUUUACAUCCCAUUUUUAAGAAGUCUUACAUUGCUGUUUAAAGGAGCAUUUUGAUCACAAACAAUUACAACAAACAUUUCAAUGUUAACAUUAUUCAUGAUGUUUCAUUCAUUUUGCAGCUCAACUUAUCAAGAGUUAUCAUGAUUUCUUUCAGAAUUAUGUUGUCAGACUUUUUAUAUUUUCAACAAAAAUAUAAAUAGUUACAAUGAAACUGUGUAAUCAAUGAGAAGCUUAGCAAAGAUUUGAAAUCGUCUUAUAAAUGAAUAAUUAGAUUUUACGUUUAAUAUUUUUGAUCAUUUGAAGGUAACCAUUAUACUAUUAAUUAUGUAACAAAUAGUAUAAUGAAUAAUGAACAUUUACAUUUAUCAAAACCAAUCUGUAAAUUGAUUGACAGAGUGAUUGGAAUCAAUUGUUUUAAAUUUAAUCACAAGUUAGGCUUAAAAGUUAAUUGAAAAAAAGAUGAAAAUUCAUUGAUGAUCAAAAAGCUAAUCUUGAUCUUUCCAAUUAUUAAUGAACCUUCACUACAAGCAACAUUAUUUGCUUGAGACAAACUUUACAAUUAACCUUGAGAUUAUGAUUACAAUUAGACAGUUGAUUGUAUAUAUUGAUGUAUAAAUAAUUAAAAAAACUGUUCAGCGGUAA